AGUUCGGAUUGUAGUCUGCAACCCGACUACAUGAAGCCGGAAUCGCUAGUAAUCGCGGAUCAGAAUGCCGCGGUGAAUACGUUCCCGGGCCUUGUACACACCGCCCGUCACACCAUGGGAGUCGGGAAUGCCCGAAGUCAGUGACCCAACCCAAGGGAGGGAGCUGCCGAAGGCAGGCCUGGUGACUGGGGUGAAGUCGUAACAAGGUAAC
rnacentral:rRNA from 1 species